CAGGUCAGUGCAUAUAACUUUCAGUGACUAUAAGAGUGUACAGGGACUGCCUGCCUUUCGGUUUACGGUGCCUUAUGAAGCAUUAGCCAACACCUCCGACAAUGCCGGCUUCUGUAUACCCGCAGGAAACUGCCUGGGCUCAGGAGUUCUGAAUGUCAGCAUCUGCAAGAACGGUGCACCUAUUAUUUUAUCCUUCCCACACUUCUACCAAGCAGAUCAGAGUUUUGUGUCUGCCAUAGAUGGCAUGCAUCCAAAUAAGGACCAUCAUGAGACGUUUGUGGACAUUAAUCCUUUGACUGGAUUUAUCCUAAGAGCAGCCAAGAGGUUCCAAAUCAACGUUUAUGUCAAAAAAAUAGAUGGCUUUAGUGAAACGGGAGACAUCCGAACCAUGGUUUUCCCAGUGAUGUAUGUCAAUGAGGUGAGUCCUGGGAGGGGGCCACGGGCUGGCUUUACCUGUGGAAGCUG